UAGAGUUUGAUCAUGGCUCAGGAUGAACGCUAGCGACAGGCUUAACACAUGCAAGUCGAGGGGCAGCGGGGAGGUAGCAAUACUUCCGCCGGCGACCGGCGCACGGGUGAGUAACACGUAUGGAACCUGCCCGUAGCAGGGGGAUAAGCGGAAGAAAUUCCGUCUAAUACCGCGUAAUAACUCCGAGAGGCAUCUCAUGGAGUUUAAAGGGUAAUACCGGCUACGGAUGGCCAUGCGGCGCAUUAGCUAGUUGGCGGGGUAACGGCCCACCAAGGCGACGAUGCGUAGGGGUUCUGAGAGGAAGGUCCCCCACACUGGUACUGAGACACGGACCAGACUCCUACGGGAGGCAGCAGUGAGGAAUAUUGGUCAAUGGGCGCGAGCCUGAACCAGCCAAGUCGCGUGAGGGAAGACGGUCCUAUGGAUUGUAAACCUCUUUUGUCGGGGAGCAAAAGGCGCCACGUGUGGCGUUCCGAGAGUACCCGAAGAAAAAGCAUCGGCUAACUCCGUGCCAGCAGCCGCGGUAAUACGGAGGAUGCGAGCGUUAUCCGGAUUUAUUGGGUUUAAAGGGUGCGCAGGCGGAAGAUCAAGUCAGCGGUAAAAUUGAGAGGCUCAACCUCUUCGAGCCGUUGAAACUGGUUUUCUUGAGUGAGCGAGAAGUAUGCGGAAUGCGUGGUGUAGCGGUGAAAUGCAUAGAUAUCACGCAGAACUCCGAUUGCGAAGGCAGCAUACCGGCGCUCAACUGACGCUCAUGCACGAAAGUGUGGGUAUCGAACAGGAUUAGAUACCCUGGUAGUCCACACAGUAAACGAUGAAUACUAAUUGUUCGGGGAGAAUGAUCCCUGAGUGAUACAGCGAAAGCGUUAAGU
rnacentral:rRNA from 1 species